rnacentral:lncRNA from 1 species
CUAGGCUCCUGCGUGCCAUCGUAUUUUGCCAAGUCAGCUGGCAGCUUCAAGUUUCUUGGCAUCCUGGUUCAGCGAAUCCGACGACUGAAACAUGGUGCUCCACACGUUUCGUGAUCUGAUUCAGGAGAGUCGUCCCUAUAGCCGGCUAGGUGGCUAAUGACUCGACGAGGAGAUUGACUCCUUCUCCGAGGGUUUGGCUCGUGUUCGUUUUGUCCCGAGACGGGCAGUCGAUGUUCACGUUGAGGCUCGUCAUCCG